GAUCCUGGCUCAGGAUGAACGCUGGCGGCGUGCUUAACACAUUCAAGUCGAACGGGAAAUCGGGAGCUUGCUCCUGAUGGAUAGUGGCGGACGGGUGAGUAACGCGUGAGCAACCUGCCUCGAUGUGGGGAAUAACACAGGGAAACUUGUGCUAAUACCGCAUAAUGCAUAUGUGUCACAUGGCACUGUAUGCCAAAGCUACGGUGCAUUGAGAUGGGCUCGCGUUGGAUUAGAUAGUUGGUGGGGUAACGGCCUACCAAGUCAACGAUCCAUAGCCGGACUGAGAGGUUGAACGGCCACAUUGGAACUGAGAUACGGUCCAGACUCCUACGGGAGGCAGCAGUGAGGAAUAUUGGGCAAUGGGCAUAAGCCUGACCCAGCGACGCCGCGUGAGGGAAGAAGGUCUUCGGAUUGUAAACCUUAGUUAUCAGGGAAGAAGAAAGUGACGGUACCUGAAGAGAAAGCCACGGCUAACUACGUGCC
rnacentral:rRNA from 1 species